rnacentral:rRNA from 1 species
AGUGAACGCUGGCGGUAGGCCUAACACAUGCAAGUCGAACGGCAGCACAGUAAGAGCUUGCUCUUACGGGUGGCGAGUGGCGGACGGGUGAGGAAUACAUCGGAAUCUACUUUUUCGUGGGGGAUAACGUAGGGAAACUUACGCUAAUACCGCAUACGACCUACGGGUUAAAGCAGGGGAUCUUCGGACCUUGCGCGAUUGAAUGAGCCGAUUUCGGAUUAGCUAGUUGGCGGGGUAAAGGCCCACCAAGGCGACGAUCCGUAGCUGGUCUGAGAGGAUGAUCAGCCACACUGGAACUGAGACACGGUCCAGACUCCUACGGGAGGCAGCAGUGGGGAAUAUUGGACAAUGGGCGCAAGCCUGAUCCAGCCAUACCGCGUGGGUGAAGAAGGCCUUCGGGUUGUAAAGCCCUUUUGUUGGGAAAGAAAAGCAGCAGGUUAAUACCCCGCUGUUCUGACGGUACCCAAAGAAUAAGCACCGGCUAACUUCGUG